rnacentral:tRNA from 1 species
AGUGGGGUCAGCUAAACAAGCUAUCGGGCCCAUACCCCGAAAAUGCCAUAUGGCCCCCACCA